CGCGCUCCUGCCUGGCGCAGUGCGUUCCUUGCGCGGCCGCUGGCGCAGCGCCGCGCCCUUGCGCGUUCGAUGCGCGCGCAGAGCGA
rnacentral:tRNA from 1 species